UGGGAUAGGCACAGCAUAACUGCUACAGACACCCCUGUUCAAAAAGGGGGAAACAGGAGGUACCCAGAAGUCACAGGUCCACAGAGAUUCUGAAAUCCAGCCAGGCAAACUUGGAGGUUCCCUUAUUAGGACUCAGUCCUCCUCCUGCCUGUGCCAGAUGAGGUCAUGCAGGGAGAGCCAGCCCUAGACACACACUCCUCUUCCUGCCCCUGGCCUCUGUCCCACACUGGGAGGGGCACACCCUAGCCUGCACAUCCAAGCUCUCUCCCCAUCACAUACAUACCCUGCUUGACCACCCCAACGGCUUAGGGGUAUGUCACUGGCAGUUCAGUCCAUCUUCUGAAGGAGGGACUCUGAGGGAAAGUCCAUGCAGGCCCCAGAAGCAGGCUCAGGAUGGCUUCAAAUAGGAAUUCUGAGGUCUCCUGUAUGCAGAGUUUGGUCUAGAUAUGGAGAGGGUGGGCAUGGGCUCUGGUGGGCAUGUUCACUGGGCCCUGCAGGCUCCUCACCUCAUAGGAAUGGGCACAACCUGAGAAGGGUUCUGGUGGGGCCUUCCAAAGCAUGAGACCCAGGGGGGCCCUCCAAAGCCUGAGACUCAAGGCAGGGGCCCUCCAAAACAUGAGACCCAGGGGGGGCCCUCCAAAACAUGAGGGCCAGGGGAGGGGCCCCUCUUCCUAGGUUGAAGGGCAAUACUGGGGCUAGGGACUGAGAAUCUUCCUGUGAUUGAAACAUGUUAGGAUGAAAUGAGAGAGAGAGAGAGAGAGGACUGCAAGCUGGGGUUAUGGUUAGAAUGUGAGACACAGGGAGGCAAGAUUUCGCCAUGGCACAUUCAAGGUGGUGAGCAGCUGUAGAAGCGUGGAGUGAAGUGAAGCCCAGUGGAGCUGAGGUGAUCAGGGCUGUAGCUGAGGCUAAGAUGUUGAAGCUAUGCACCCCCCCCACACACACCCAGCAAACAGUGGUGGGGUCGGCACAGGUUAUUGACAGAGGUACUGAUGUCACCAGGGUGUUGCCAGGAUAAGAGAUGAGGAGGACAACGAUGAGUCAGGUACCAAAGUCUUCAGGGGACAUGGAGGUGUGACCAGGAAGCUGGCCAUAAAGGAUGGCAGGAAGUAAAGGAUGGCAGAGCUGAUGGCAUGAACCUCGAAGCAGGUGAUCUUAUAGGAGGUGACGAGCGAAGUAAGUGGCCCCCUCCCAGCCCCAGUCCAGUCGUGGGGUGUGGAAGGGAGUCUUCCCUGGGCUCCAGUAUCCACGGGGAAAGGCAAAGCCAAAUGACGAUGCACCAGUGAGUCACCAGUGAGAUUGCAUUUAAAAUCUAGCAGCCUCAGAGCCAAGACCAGCCUUGUGUAAACAGAGUUCAGGGAGGAGGGAAGAUAGUGGAGUGAGACGUGCCGAGGCCAGCCGGCCUCUGGGCUUGGGGUGCGCUGACCUCUGGGGAGCCGAGUGCAUCUGCUGGACUGAAGGCAGAGUAAUUUUUUCAUCUCAUGCAGAAGAAGAAAGAAGAUAUGUAGCAGAGGAAAGGAACGGAACAUUCUCCCUCCCUACCUUACACAGGAGAGUGGUCAUCUACACUAAAGCAAAACUUCCUUAUCAUAGGAAGACCAUUUUCCUUGACCUUUAGGUGAUUUUAUAGUCAUCUCGAAAGGGAAACAAAACUCAACUCAGGACUUGAUUGAACACAGAGAGUCCACUAGGAUGCAGUAUUCCUGCCCACUUCUCCAGGAAGAAAGAAGCAAAUGACGUGGGUCUUUUGGCACUGUUUGCUUAAUUAUAAAGAAAUUAUUUUGCAAGCUGAAUACUGAUGCUUUAUUUGAAACAGGUGCUUAGUUGGUGGCAUUUAUGAAUUCUUUACCUUUUGUUCCAAACCAAAAGACUAAUUAAAUAGCAAGUAUUGGUGGGGAAAAAAAAGAAAAAAAAAAGACUUUGUUGGGCGCGGUGGCUCAUGCCUGUAAUCCUAGCACUUUGGGAGGCCAAGGAGGGCAGAUCACGAGGUCAGGAGAUCGAGACUAUCCUGGCCAACAUGGUGAAACCCGUCUCUACUAAAAAUACAAAAAUUAGCUGGGUGUGGUGGCACGCGCCUGUAGUCCCAGCUACUCGGGAGGCUGAGGCAGAAGAAUUGUUUGAACCCGGGAGGCGGAGGUUGCAGUGAGCCAAGAUCGCACCACUGCACUCCAGCCUGGGUGACAGAGCGAGACUCCCUCUCAAAAAAAAAAAAAAAAAAAAGACUUCAAAACAGUGUGGAAUUAUGGAAAUGGAUGCCAUCCAAGAAGACUGGAAAAAUACACUCUGACCUCUUUAUGCAGUAGAGCUAGGCUUUUCAAGAUACAGGAGACCAAUGAGAAGGGUUUUUUUUAGGCCGGGCACAGUGGCUCAUGCCUGUAAUCCCAGUACUUUGGGAGGCUGAGGCAGGCGG
rnacentral:lncRNA from 1 species